AUUGAACGCUGGCGGCAGGCCUAACACAUGCAAGUCGAGCGGAUGAAGGGAGCUUGCUCCUGGAUUCAGCGGCGGACGGGCGAGUAAUGCCUAGGAAUCUGCCUGGUAGUGGGGGAUAACGUCCGGAAACGGGCGCUAAUACCGCAUACGUCCUGAGGGAGAAAGGGGGGGAUCUUCGGACCUCACGCUAUCAGAUGAGCCUAGGUCGGAUUAGCUAGUUGGUGGGGUAAAGGCCUACCAAGGCGACGAUCCGUAACUGGUCUGAGAGGAUGAUCAGUCACCCUGGAACUGAGCCACGGUCCAGACUCCUACGGGAGGCAGCAGUGGGGAAUAUUGGAUAAUGGGCGAAAGCCUGAUCCAGCCAUGCCGCGUGUGUGAAGAAGGUCUUCGGAUUGUAAAGCACUUUUAGUUGGGAGGAAGGGCAGUAAGUUAAUACCUUGCUGUUUUGACGUUACCAACAGAAUAAGCACCGGCUAACUUCGUG
rnacentral:rRNA from 1 species